UUAUAUAAUGAGAGAAGUAUUAUAUGUGUAUCAGCAACGAAUGAGACAGUGUACGAGUACUAGUGUGACGUCGUAGAAUUAAUGCAUAACUUUUGAAAUAAGGGUUGAUAAUGGCUCCUAUUUAGGGAAUGUGCUCGGCCUUCCGCUUAUCCCCUCACCCCCCUGUGAACCUUAUCGAAGUUAGUAGUCUUUCCUCCUUAGUUGGAGCCGCCGGGGUUGACUUUGUUACUAGCGUUUCAACACUAAAGCAUAUGGUCGGCCUUGCCUGGGAUUGACGAACACUUUGACUUCAUCAUACACACUUUAAUUGUCUUGCCGCAUGCAAUGCUCCUUGUGGGCGAAAUGAAGUCCAACUUUCAACAACGGAGCUCUUGGCUCUCGCAUCGAUGAACCACGCACCGAACUGCCAUAAGUAAUGUAAAUUGCACAAUUCACUGAAUCAUCGAAUCUUUGAACGCACCUUGCGCCCCUUGGUAUUCCGAGGUGCAUGCCUGUCUAACUGUCA
rnacentral:misc_RNA from 1 species